GAGUUUGAUCAUGGCUCAGAAUGAACGCUGGCGGCGUGCUUAACACAUGCAAGUCGUACGAGAACUCCUUAGCUUGCUAAGGAUAGUAAAGUGGCGCACGGGUGAGUAACGCGUGGGUAAUCUACCCUGGAAAUCGGGAUAACAUUGCGAAAGUGAUGCUAAUACCGAAUGAUAUCUAAUUUGCUUUGGCUUUUUAGAUCAAAGGUGGCCUCUAUUUAUAAGCUACUGUUUUGGGAUAAGCUCGCGUACCAUUAGCUUGUUGGUAGGGUAAUGGCCUACCAAGGCUACGAUGGUUAGCUGGUCUGAGAGGAUGAUCAGCCACACUGGAACUGACACACGGUCCAGACUCCUACGGGAGGCAGCAGUGAGGAAUUUUGCGCAAUGGGGGAAACCCUGACGCAGCAACGCCGCGUGAGUGAUGAAGGCUUUCGGGUCGUAAAGCUCUGUCAAGUGGGAAGAAAAAGAAGAGUUGUAAUAUAACUUUUCUCUGACGGUACCACUAAAGGAAGCACCGGCUAACUCCGUGCCAGCAGCCGUGGUAAUACG
rnacentral:rRNA from 1 species